ACCCUUGUAGUGUAAUGGUAGCACGCUUUCUUCCGGCGGAAGUAAUCCUCGUUCGAAUCGGGGCAGGGGUG
rnacentral:tRNA from 1 species